rnacentral:rRNA from 1 species
AUGAUGCAUGGGCCCUGUGGCGUUCUCAAUAGUAAAAAUUCCUGCAUGCAAAAUGGGGAAUGUAAAUACCAUUAUCCCCGAGCAUUCUCGGAUGCUACAUUGCAAGGGAAAGACUCAUAUCCAAUUUAUAGACGCAGGGAUGAUGGCCGUAAAGUGCGCAUUAGGGGAUCUGUUUUGGAUAAUAGAUGGGUUGUGCCAUAUAAUCCAUACCUACUUAUGAGAUAUAAUUGCCAUAUAAACAUCGAAGUUUGCUCCAGCAUCAAUGCUGUUAAGUAUUUAUUUAAGUACAUUUACAAGGGUCAUGAUCGUGCCUCUUUUAUUGUAGAAGCCGCAGAAGGUCAAGUUAUUGAUGAAAUUCACGAGUAUAGAGAUGCCCGCUUUAUAUCACCUCCAGAAGAAAUAUGGAGAAUUUACGCUUUCGACCUGAGUGAGAUGUCUCCUCCCGUUCUAUAG